AGAUGACACCUGCCAGCUAGACAUGUACACCUUACAAUCCUUCCAUACACCAAAUAUAGUAGACCUAUUGCAUACAGUAUAAGAAAAACAGACCAAAACACAAAAACUCAACUAUAACCACUGAACCAUGAAAAUGAGGUCAAGGUCAGAUGACACCUGCCAGCUAGACAUGUACACCUCACAAUCCUUCCAUACACCAAAUAUAGUAGACCUAUUGCAUACAGUAUAAGAAAAACAGACCAAAACACAAAAACUCAACUAUAACCACUGAACCAUGAAAAUGAGGUCAAGGUCAGAUGACACCUGCCAGCUAGACAUGUACACCUUACAAUCCUUCCAUACACCAAAUAUAGUAGACCUAUUGCAUACAGUAUAAGAAAAACAGACCAAAAC